GCCCCAUCGUCUAGUGGUUAGGACGUCAGGUUCUCAUCCAGGAAAUCGAGGGUUCGAUUCCCUCUGGCGGCA
rnacentral:tRNA from 1 species